rnacentral:tmRNA from 1 species
GGGGGUGAACGGUCUCGACGGGGGUCGCCGAAGGCAGGUGGCGUGCCGAGGUGCGGGUGGCCUCGUAGGUAGCCCUUACGGGCUGACCGUAAAAACCCGCAAAAGAAUAAAGGCCAACAAGCCUGCUUACGCUCUCGCGGCUUAGUCCCGCGACCUCGCCCGGAAGCCUCGCCGGGGGCUCACGGUAGCGGGGACAAAAACCCGGCUAGCCUUGGCUAGGCCCCCUAGACCAAGGCGAAACUAAACGGGGCUUGCCCUUGGCCGCCCGUCCGCGGGCUAAGCCAGGGGGACACCCAAAACGCGGGCUACGCACGUAGAGGCCUGCCGUAGGGACUUUCGGACGGGGGUUCGACUCCCCCCACCUCCACCA